rnacentral:tRNA from 1 species
GGUUAGCUCAGUGGUAGAGUGAUUGCCUUGAAUGCAUGAGGCCCUGGGUUCAAUUCCUCAGCACCA